rnacentral:misc_RNA from 1 species
UUUCCGUAGGUGAACCUGCGGAAGGAUCAUUAGAGAAAUCUUUGAUGGCUGUGCGCCUUUGGGCUGCACGCCGUUUCAAUUUCCACACAUGUGCACCUUCGAUGGGAGUGGGGAAACCUGCCUCCCGUCGCUUUCAUUAACCGAUUCAGUCUUGAAUGUAAACCCCUUUUAUAAAAAUACAACUUUCAGCAACGGAUCUCUUGGCUCUCGCAUCGAUGAAGAACGCAGC